UUGCUACUUAAUUCGUAUCAGUCACAGUUUGAUCCCCAAAACCGUCAGACCAUUCGAAGCGUCUGACUGAAGCCCAACAAUGGUUAAUAUUACCAAUGGACUACUAAUGCUACUAAGUUUUGUACAACACCAAAGACUUCCCCGCGACACCCAACGACAAACUGAAUGAGGCGCGCAGUUUAAAUGAAGCUGCUCAAUUAAGUUAUCAUCAAUCCGUUAGUCCGCUAGUUGGGUGGUGUAACGUGGCCAUCAACAAUUUUGGUAUUCUCAUUCCCCACAUCAAAGAUGGAAGUCUUUCAAAUCAGAACAAGGACUUCAUAUUCCUUUUAAUUGACAAUACGCUACACGAGGGUCUAGAAAAAACUGCUCAAUCCAUAGUCUUACUAAAUGAUGUUCAACGUAAAUCGUCCAGAGUGGUCAACUUAUUUUAUAGCAUUAAGCACGACGUGUACAACGAUUAUGGAAAACAAAAAGUAAAUCUCGAUGCACAAAUGCAAGAUUUGAAAGAGACCCAGAGUACAUAUAAUACAUUAUCAUACAUUCCAAUUGUUAAUGUUUUCAGUUAUAUUGCUGAUAAAGCUGGGCGCAAUGAAGAGAAGAGACAUCUAUUGAGAGAAAACAUAUUAAAUAUUGAAAACAAACUUAAGCGUAUCAUAGAAAAUAUUAUGGUCGCUACAGAAAUAUCAAAAACAGGCGUGAACCCAAAUUUGGAAAGGGAUGAUACAAAUUUAAGUAGCCUCAGGGGAAAAACUUAUGGUGCGGACAAUACUAAAAAUUUCUUGAAGCUCGACUUUCUACCACUUCGGACUCGUUAUGCUGAUAUCCUACAGGAAUUGACAAAUCAGUGUCGUGAUUAUAAUCUUUGGCAUGAAUCUCGAAAUUAAGAUGAUAGGGUGUCGUCUGGAAGUAAACACUAUUAUGUUCAAACUGUACGAUUAUUGGCUUCGAGUUUCGCGAAUAAAAAUGUUUUUUUCAUUGUUCUAAACGUUCA
rnacentral:misc_RNA from 1 species